rnacentral:rRNA from 1 species
UACGGAGGAUCCGAGCGUUAUCCGGAUUUAUUGGGUUUAAAGGGUGCGUAGGCGGCAUGCUAAGUCAGGGGUGAAAGACGGUGGCUCAACCAUCGCAGUGCCUUUGAUACUGGUGUGCUUGAAUGCGGCUGAGGUAGGCGGAAUGUGGCAAGUAGCGGUGAAAUGCAUAGAUAUGCCACAGAACACCGAUUGCGAAGGCAGCUUACCAAAGCGUAAUUGACGCUGAUGCACGAAAGCGUGGGGAUCGAAC